rnacentral:rRNA from 1 species
AGUGAACGCUGGCGGUAGGCCUAACACAUGCAAGUCGAACGGCAGCACAGUAAGAGCUUGCUCUUACGGGUGGCGAGUGGCGGACGGGUGAGGAAUACAUCGGAAUCUACUUUUUCGUGGGGGAUAACGUAGGGAAACUUACGCUAAUACCGCAUACGACCUACGGGUGAAAGCAGGGGAUCUUCGGACCUUGCGCGAUUGAAUGAGCCGAUGUCGGAUUAGCUAGUUGGCGGGGUAAAGGCCCACCAAGGCGACGAUCCGUAGCUGGUCUGAGAGGAUGAUCAGCCACACUGGAACUGAGACACGGUCCAGACUCCUACGGGAGGCAGCAGUGGGUAAUAUUGGACAAUGGGCGCAAGCCUGAUCCAGCCAUACCGCGUGGGUGAAGAAGGCCUUCGGGUUGUAAAGCCCUUUUGUUGGGAAAGAAAAGCAGCAGGUUAAGACCCCGCUGUUCUGACGGUACCCAAAGAAUAAGCACCGGCUAACUGCGU